rnacentral:rRNA from 1 species
GAUGAACGCUGGCGGCGUGCUUAACACAUGCAAGUCGAACGGAAAGGCCCUGCUUUUGUGGGGUGCUCGAGUGGCGAACGGGUGAGUAACACGUGAGUAACCUGCCCUUGACUUUGGGAUAACUUCAGGAAACUGGGGCUAAUACCGGAUAGGAGCUCCUGAUGCAUGGUGGGGGUUGGAAAGUUUCGGCGGUUGGGGAUGGACUCGCGGCUUAUCAGCUUGUUGGUGGGGUAGUGGCUUACCAAGGCUUGGACGGGUAGCCGGCAUGAGAACGGGGCCGGCCACAUUGGGACUGAGAUACGGCGCAGACUCCUACGGGAGGCAACGGUGGGGAGUAUUACACAAUGAGCGGAAGCCUGAUACGACGGCGCCGCGUGCGGAAUGCCGGCCUUCUGGUUAUGAACCGCUUUCGCCUGUGACGAAGCGUGAGUGACGGUAAUGGAUAAAGAAGCACCGGCUAACUACGUG